rnacentral:rRNA from 1 species
AGUGAACGCUGGCGGUGGGCCUAACACAUGCAAGUCGAACGGCAGCACAGGAGAGCUUGCUCUCUGGGUGGCGAGUGGCGGACGGGUGAGGAAUACAUCGGAAUCUACUCUGUCGUGGGGGAUAACGUAGGGAAACUUACGCUAAUACCGCAUACGACCUACGGGUGAAAGCAGGGGACCUUCGGGCCUUGCGCGAUUGAAUGAGCCGAUGUCGGAUUAGCUAGUUGGCGGGGUAAAGGCCCACCAAGGCGACGAUCCGUAGCUGGUCUGAGCGGAGGAUCAACCACACUGGAACUGAGACACGGUCCAGACUCCUACGGGAGGCAGCAGUGGGGAAUAUUGGACAAUGGGCGCAAGCCUGAUCCAGCCAUACCGCGUGGGUGAAGAAGGCCUUCGGGUUGUAAAGCCCUUUUGUUGGGAAAGAAAUCCAGCUGGCUAAUACCCGGUUGGGAUGACGGUACCCAAAGAAUAAGCACCGGCUAACUUCGUGCCAGCCGCCGCAGUAA